rnacentral:rRNA from 1 species
GAUGAACGCUGGCGGCGUGCCUAAUACAUGCAAGUCGAGCGAACAGAUGAGGAGCUUGCUCCUCUGACGUUAGCGGCGGACGGGUGAGUAACACGUGGAUAACCUACCUAUAAGUCUGGGAUAACUUCGGGAAACCGGAGCUAAUACCGGAUAAUAUAUUGAACCGCCUGGUUCAAUAGUGAAAGACGGUUUUGCUGUCACUUAUAGAUGGAUCCGCGCCGCAUUAGCUAGUUGGUAAGGUAACGGCUUACCAAGGCAACGAUGCGUAGCCGUCCUGAGAGGGGGAUCGGCCACUCGGGAACUGAGACACGGGACAGACUCCUACGGGAGGCAGCAGUAGGGAAUCUGCCGCAAUGGGCGAAAGCUUGACGGAGCAACGCCGCGUGAGUGAAGAAGGUCUUCGGAUCGGAAAACUCUGUUAUUAGGGAAGAACAAAUGUGUAAGUAACGAUGCACGUCUUGACGGUACCUAAUCAGAAAGCCACGGCUAAAUACGUG